AUACCCCUGCGGUGUACGAAACUCUGGUGUUCUUUUGACGAACCAAUGAGCACCCGCGGGGAACCAUCAUAACGGAUGGGGCUUGCAAGCCCACCUUGACCUAGGUCAUGGAGUGGGAUCCAAAAUCCUCUGUUGAGGUUCCCCCCUUAUUUGCGGGUUCUCAAAAGCACCUUAACGGCACAGGUGGGGGUUUU
rnacentral:other from 2 species